rnacentral:lncRNA from 10 species
AGCAGGACUCUCUGUUAUAGAAACCACCAGCUUUGUGUCUCCUAAGUGGGUUCCCCAGAUGGGUGACCACACUGAAGUCUUGAAGGGCAUUCAGAAGUUUCCUGGCAUCAACUACCCAGUCCUGACCCCAAAUUUGAAAGGCUUCGAGGCAGCGGUAAGAGGAUAGCUUGUUGGUGGGGGCUCCUGAAAUGAGAUUGAUGGCAUUGGUCCCUGCCUUGUCUUGGCGCCUCAGUCCCCUGUCCUGGGAUGUCCAUCUGAAUAGCUUGUCUGUCAGCCAGACCCUGGGGCAAACCUGGCCCUGCCACUCACUGCUCUGUGAUCUUGACAAGUUGACAAGCCUAUAAAAUAGGGCUAAAUGAUAGUACCUGAAGUUGUGAGCAUUUCAGAAGAUAGGAUGCAUGUACAUUGCUUAGCAAGAGCCAGAUAAAAGGUAACUGCUUAAUAAAUGUUAGCUCUUUUGAUU